UACGGAGGGUGCAAGCGUUAUCCGGAUUCACUGGGUUUAAAGGGAGCGUAGGUGGGAUGGUAAGUCAGUGGUGAAAUCUCCGGGCUUAACUCGGAGACUGCCGUUGAUACUAUCAUUCUUGAAUAUUGUGGAGGUAAGCGGAAUAUGUCAUGUAGCGGUGAAAUGCUUAGAUAUGACAUAGAACACCAAUAGCGAAGGCAGCUUGCUACACAAUUAUUGACACUGAGGCUCGAAAGCGUGGGGAUCAAACAGG
rnacentral:rRNA from 1 species